UACGUAGGGGGCAAGCGUUGUCCGGAAUUAUUGGGCGUAAAGAGCGUGUAGGCGGUCCGGUAAGUCAGCUGUGAAAGUCAAGGGCUCAACCCUUGAAAGCCGGUUGAUACUGUCGGGCUAGAGUCCGGAAGAGGCGAGUGGAAUUCCCGGUGUAGCGGUGAAAUGCGCAGAUAUCGGGAGGAAUACCAGUGGCGAAGGCGGCUUCUUGGCCUGUUCUUGACGCUGAGGCGCGAAAGCUGGGGGAGCAAACGGGG
rnacentral:rRNA from 1 species